GACGAACGCUGGCGGCGUGCUUAACACAUGCAAGUCGAACGGAAAGGCCCUGCUUGCAGGGUACUCGAGUGGCGAACGGGUGAGUAACACGCGGGUGUUCUGUGCUGCUCUUCGGGAUAAACCUGGGGAACUCUGUCUCUUAUCGGAUAGGAGCCCUCUUUCGUGUGGUGGUUGGAUGGAUUUUUUGGUGUAGGAUGAGCUCGCGGGCUGUCAGCCUGUUGGUGGGGUAAUGGCCUACCAAGGCGGGGACGGGGAGCCGGCCUGCGGGGGUGGACGGCCACAAUGGGACUGGGAUACGGGCCAGGCUCCUACGGGGAGCAGCAGGGGGGGAUAAUGCAAAAUGGGGGCAAGCCUGAUGCCACGACGCCGCGUGGGGGAUUACGGCCUUCGGGUUGGAAACUCCUUUCGCUAGGUACGAAGCUGUGUGUGACGGUACCUAGAUAAGAAGCACCGGCUAACUACGUG
rnacentral:rRNA from 1 species